AGAGUUUGAUCCUGGCUCAGGACGAACGCUGGCGGCGUGCUUAACACAUGCAAGUCGAACGGAAAGGCCCUUCGGGGUACUCGAGUGGCGAACGGGUGAGUAACACGUGGGUGAUCUGCCCUGCACUCUGGGAUAAGCCUGGGAAACUGGGUCUAAUACCGGAUAGGACCGCAUGCUUCAUGGUGUGUGGUGCAAAGCUUUUGCGGUGUGGGAUGAGCCCGCGGCCUAUCAGCUUGUUGGUGGGGUAAUGGCCUACCAAGGCGACGACGGGUAGCCGGCCUGAGAGGGUGACCGGCCACACUGGGGCUGAGAUACGGCCCAGACUCCUACGGGAGGCAGCAGUGGGGAAUAUUGCACAAUGGGCGCAAGCCUGAUGCAGCGACGCCGCGUGAGGGAUGACGGCCUUCGGGUUGUAAACCUCUUUCAGUAGGGACGAAGCGAAAGUGACGGUACCUACAGAAGAAGGACCGGCCAACUACGUGCCAGCAGCCGCGGUAAUACGUAGGGUCCGAGCGUUGUCCGGAAUUACUGGGCGUAAAGAGCUCGUAGGUGGUUUGUCGCGUUGUUCGUGAAAACUCACAGCUUAACUGUGGGCGUGCGGGCGAUACGGGCAGACUAGAGUACUGCAGGGGAGACUGGAAUUCCUGGUGUAGCGGUGGAAUGCGCAGAUAUCAGGAGGAACACCGGUGGCGAAGGCGGGUCUCUGGGCAGUAACUGACGCUGAGGAGCGAAAGCGUGGGUAGCGAACAGGAUUAGAUACCCUGGUAGUCCAA
rnacentral:rRNA from 1 species